rnacentral:rRNA from 1 species
UACGUAGGGGGCAAGCGUUGUCCGGAUUUACUGGGCGUAAAGAGCGUGUAGGCGGCCAAGCAGGUCCGUUGUGAAAACUGGAGGCUUAACCUCCAGACGUCGACGGAAACCGCGUGGCUAGAGUCCGGAAGAGGAGAGUGGAAUUCCUAGUGUAGCGGUGAAAUGCGCAGAUAUUAGGAGGAACACCGGUGGCGAAGGCGCCACUCUGGGCCGAAACUGACGCUGAGGAGCGAAAGCGUGGGGAGCAAACAGG